rnacentral:rRNA from 1 species
AUAAAGAAUAAUUAGUGGCAGACGGGUGAGUAAUGCAUAGGAAUCUACCUAGUAGUAUGGGAUAGCCACUAGAAAUGGUGGGUAAUACUGUAUAAUCCCUGCGGGGGAAAGAUUUAUCGCUAUUAGAUGAGCCUAUGUUAGAUUAGCUAGUUGGUAGGGUAAAGGCCUACCAAGGCGAUGAUCUAUAGCUGGUCUGAGAGGAUGAUCAGCCACACUGGAACUGAGAUACGGUCCAGACUCCUACGGGAGGCAGCAGUGGGGAAUAUUGGACAAUGGGCGCAAGCCUGAUCCAGCUAUGCCGCGUGAGUGAGGAAGGCCUUAGAGUUGUAAAACUCUUUCAGUAGGGAAGAUAAUGACGGUACCUACAGAAGAAGUCCCGGCAAACUCCGUGCCAGCAGCCGCGGUAAUACGGAGGGGGCAAGCGUUGUUCGGAAUUAUUGGGCGUAAAGGGCAUGUAGGCGGUUCGGUAAGUUAAAGGUGAAAUGCCAGGGCUUAAC